AAGUCGGUAACAAGGUUCCGUAGGUGAACCUGCGGAA
rnacentral:rRNA from 1 species